rnacentral:rRNA from 1 species
CGGGUGAGUAACGCGUGAGGAACCUGCCUCAAAGAGGGGGACAACAGUUGGAAACGACUGCUAAUACCGCAUAAGCCCACGGCUCGGCAUCGAGCAGAGGGAAAAGGAGUGAUCCGCUUUGAGAUGGCCUCGCGUCCGAUUAGCUAGUUGGUGAGGUAACGGCCCACCAAGGCAACGAUCGGUAGCCGGACUGAGAGGUUGAACGGCCACAUUGGGACUGAGCACGGCCCAG